rnacentral:rRNA from 1 species
CCUACGGGGGGCAGCAGUGAGGAAUAUUGGUCAAUGGGCGCGAGCCUGAACCAGCCAAGUAGCGUGAAGGAUGACUGCCCUACGGGUUGUAAACUUCUUUUAUAAAGGAAUAAAGUGAGGCACGUGUGCCUUUUUGUAUGUACUUUAUGAAUAAGGAUCGGCUAACUCCGUGCCAGCAGCCGCGGUAAUACGGAGGAUCCGAGCGUUAUCCGGAUUUAUUGGGGUUAAAGGGUGCGUAGAGGGGUUGUUAAGUCAGUUGUGAAAGUUUGCGGCUCAACCGUAAAAGUGCAAUUGAUACUGGCAGCCUUGAGUACAGGUGAGGUAGGCGGAAUUCGUGGUGUAGCGGUGAAAUGCUUAGAUAUCACGAAGAACUCCGAUUGCGAAGGCAGCUUACUAAACUGCCACUGACAUUGAUGCGCGAAAGUGUGGGUAUCAAACAGGAUUAGAUACCCCUGUAGUC